rnacentral:tRNA from 1 species
GCCUCUAUAGCUCAAUGGCAGAGCGCUGGUCUAGCAGACCAAGGGUCGGGAGUUCAAUUCUCCCUAGGGGCA